GCAAGAUCUUAAGUUCAUGCACCACAGUUAAAAUCCAGAAGAAACUGUCUAGACUUGAUGAACAAGAAGUCAGAUGAAGUUAUCAGAACAGACCAUAGCAGACAAGUAACUCUAAAGAUUUUUGUCCCAGAAAUGAUGCCUGGAAAGAGCAAGAUGGAAGCCUACGGACCUGGCAGAAGUCAGAGACCUCACACUAAAGAGGGUUAGUCAGCAAGAACUUAAGUCAUAGGGAAGAAGAUAAGAGCCUGAAAUUUCCUAGGCCAAUUCAGCGUGUAUGAAGGCAAAGCCUCUGUCAGCAUGGUUCCCUGAACAACUAUGAAGAUCAAAGUGCACCCUCCUCCUCAUAUCUAUAUGUUGCAUGCUUAAAUUCUGAGAAAUAAGGGGAAAAAACGGAAAUGUUGCAUGGAUGAGAAAUAACAUUUUAUUUAAUUAAUAUACUGAAAUUUGGUAGUUGUUAAUUACUGUAUCAUAACCUAGGUUAUCUUGGUUAAUAUACGAUUUAUACUCCAUCUUGUUAGUUUCAGCUCAUUGUUGUAAUAUGCUAAGAUCUUUUAGACAUUAAUUCCAUUAUUAAUAUACUAAUUAUUUUCCCAGGUAUAUGUCACCCUUAAAUUGUAUAAGUAUGUAUUUUAUAUUUUUAUCUUUUCCAGUUAAAAACAAUCUAAGUCCAUAUUCAUGGAUUGGAAAAUGUAAUAUUGCUAAAAUGUCCAUAUUACCCAAAGCAAUCUACAGAUUCAAUGCAACAUGUAUCAAAAUACCAAUAGAAAGUAGAUUGGUGAAUAACAGAGGCCAGGAAGAAUACAGAGGAGGUGGGGAAGAAGAGAGGUUAAUAGGUACAAAAAUAUAGUUAGAUAGGGGAAAUAAGACCUAGUGCUCAAUAAAUCAGUUGAGUGACUACAACAAUAUAUAAUUUAUUAUAUAUUUCAAAAUAGCUAGUACAGAAUAAUUUGAAUAUUCCAGGCAUAAAGAAAAAUGUUUAAGGUAAUGAGUAUUUCAAUUACCCUGGUUUAAUUAUUACAUGUUAUAUGAAUAAAUCAAAAUACCACAGGUACCCCUAAAAUAUGUACCUCUAUUAUAUACCAAUUUUUAGAAAUCUAUGUAAAGGCAAUUCCUGAGGCAUUUCAAUAAGAGCCACCCCUGAGUACAAUAUCAAUCAUGAAUUAUCACACCUUGGGUCCAGUCAUUCAACCUAUUACUAGUUUAUCUAGGCCAUAUUUUUCUAGGAUAUAUCCUGAAAUUCCUUUGCAAAUAUACUUUUGAAAUCUAGAAAUAUAUCUACAUUUAUUUGGUACAUAUACUUAGAAAUCUUUUCAGACCAAUACAUAAUGUAAUGUUAAAUUUAAAAUAUAAUGUAAGUGUACAGUACAAUAUUUAAUAGAACAGAUCCAGAAAUGAGCAUUAUUGAUGUGUAAAAUUGUAUCAAUUUCGCAUAAAAGCAAAGCAAUCAAAUUCUGGAGUCAGCUAGAUCUAGUUCAAAUCUCAGCUCUGAUACUGUCACUGAUCUUGAUAUUUGCUUAGUGUCUGGAUUUCUGAAUUAUCUCAUCUGUAAAAUAUGAAUAAUAAUUAUCAUACCUACCUCCAAAAGUUGCUACAAGAAUUAAAGGAAGUAAUGCUAAAGAAUGCUCAGAUAUGGGUCUGUUAUAUUACAAUAUUUCAAAAAGUAUUACUUAUAUCAUAAUAAUUAUGAAUUUGAGAUAUACCAUUUUUAAAUGACAUCUAAAGUGUUGCUUAAUUAUUUUAUUUUAUAUUCUUUCUAAAUGUUAAGACAGACUAAAAACUAAGAACUCUUAAUCUGCUAGUCUUAGAUAGAUUUUGUCAUAUCUGAAAAUAUGGAUUACAGUGCAGUUCUUUGAGCAAGUUGUUUCAUAUUUAAGAAAGUAUAUGGAUUAAGCAAACUUGUUGCUUUAAAUAAGAAGUGAGUAAUUAUUUACAAGCUUAUAGCAGCAGCAGCACACAUUUUUAGCAGUGAUUAUUUUAUUGUUCUCUCUGACUACUAUAUAGUCUGUCUGUAAGAGGGAAU
rnacentral:lncRNA from 1 species